GGCCUGGCUCAGUGGUUGAGCAUCAGCCUAUGAACCAGAAGGUCAUGGUUCAAAUCCCAGUCAGGCCA
rfam:Myotis davidii contig67716, whole genome shotgun sequence.